CGGAGCUUGAGGGAGCUUGCUUCUUUAAGCUUAGUGGCGAACGGGUGAGUAACGCGUGAGGAACCUGCCUCAGAGUGGGGGACAACAGUUGGAAACGACUGCUAAUACCGCAUAAGCCCACGGGUCCGCAUGGACCUGAGGGAAAAGGAGCAAUCCGCUUUGAGAUGGCCUCGCGUCCGAUUAGCUAGUUGGUGAGGUAACGGCCCACCAAGGCGACGAUCGGUAGCCGGACUGAGAGGUUGAACGGCCACAUUGGGACUGAGACACGGCCCAGACUCCUACGGGAGGCAGCAGUGGGGAAUAUUGCACAAUGGGGGAAACCCUGAUGCAGCGACGCCGCGUGGAGGAAGAAGGUCUUCGGAUUGUAAACUCCUGUUGUUGGGGAAAAUAAGGAUGGUACCCAACAAGGAAGUGACGGCUAACUACGUGCCAGCAGCCGCGGUAAAACGUAGGUCACAAGCGUUGUCCGG
rnacentral:rRNA from 1 species